AUGAUCACCGCAGUUAAGCAACGUCGAGCCUGGUCAGUAAUAAGAUGGGUAACCACUUGGAAAUACCAGGUGCUGUAA